GCUUCACAACAGAACACACCCAAUUAUGCAAACCCUCACCAGAGGGAACAUGCAACCUUUACAGACAAGGAUAUUUGAGAUGCCUCUGCUAUGAAGUGCUAAGUUACGGAUGGUUCAAUGGGACUGAUCAGCCUCUCAACACCAGUGUGCUGCAAUAACAGGGUUGUCUGGCUCAAACGGGAAAUAUAAUUUGGUGAGUCAGUGUUUAUGUAUGUCUGUCAUCAAGAUAACAAGGUAGUUUUUGUCUUUUUAAAGUCUGAGGAAUGCUGACAGGCCAAUUCCAAUCAGGUUUUAAUUUAAUUUUGUGUAUCUAGUGUAUGAUGGGACUUUUGUCAAUGUAGUGAUAGGACUUUUUCUUUUUAAACUGUACUCCGGAAAAACAUCACAUGUAGUUCUUGUAGUUCCGGUUCUUCACGUGAUAGUAAACAAGAUGGCUAUUCCAUUUACAGAUGAUGAACCGGUAACCGAUGAACUUAUACGUGAACUAAAAUCUGAAGAAUCCUAGCAAAUACAGACAGUGAUGGAUAAACUAACAUUAAUACUACCUCUAUAACAACUUUUCAUAGCUAUUUAAUGUCAUGCACUGUUUUUGUUAACUUUUUAUCUGCUCAAUCGUGCUGCGCCGCUAUGUUGAGCAUGUUAGUAAACAUACUGGAGUCACCCGUCAUAAGCUAACCUCAGCAUUUUCCAUUGACCCUAAGCCAAAAAGGGAAGCAUGAAUGACCACAACUGAUGUAACAUCUGCUGAAUUAAUAACAAAGCGAACAACGGCAAUACCGCAAUACGAUCAUAUCGCAUUUGAUCACACAACAAUGUGUUUGAUCGCAUUUGAUCACACAACAACAUAACAGAUUGCAUGUUAUGGCAUGUUAUGGCAUUUAGUGUUGAACCAGAGCCAGAGGUGCUGUUUGAACUGUGUACUAAUUAUGAUGUCCCUAAUGCUGUAGGCCCCUGAGGCAACCCACAGGCACGGCAGGUGGAAGGUGUAUCGCGAUGCCAGCUUCCCUCUUCCAGAAUAUGGAGAAGAUCUCACGAGACACCAGGGCCUUGCCAGAACUUCCCCAUGGGACUGUGGAUGAGAGUCAGAUUCACAGAGAGGACGUGGAUGAGAGUCAGAUUCACAGACAGGACGUGGAUGUCUCAAGGGCAGUUCCUCAGCUCUCCAGCCCCACUAUAUCACCUGCCAUGAGGGCCACUGCUGGUGGUUCAGCUGCUGCCCUCCUAAGCCCAAAUACUACUGAAGGAGUGGAGCCAUUGGCAGUGUCUGUGGAAACUGGCCAGGCCUGUGAGAUAGUCCAGCCCAUGGAGUCAGUGGAGGAAGAGGACGAAGACGUACAACAAAGGGGAGGGCGGAGAGACGGCAAAAAGAGACGCAAAAAAUCACAGCGUCAUAAAAGGCGCCGUUAAUGGGCUACACCCAUCCUUAUGCAAGAUGCUAUGUAUUUGUCAGGAUUGUGCCUUGUCCUUUUCUUGUGCUUGUACUUUGUAUCCCUUCCGUGCCCUUAUGUUACUUCCUGUUUGCCAUUUGUUUACUUCCUGUGUAUAGUCCUUUGUGCCGGUUCCUGCCAUGUGCUCCAGUGUUUACCCUUUACCUGUGUUCCUGUUCUGUGUACCUGUGUCUCCACCCCUCACCUGUUCCCAUUUAGUAGUCUUGUUAAUUCCCUUGUUUAGUUCACCUGUGUCUUGUUAUCUGGUUUACCCUCUUGUAAACCCUUGUCUUCCCCUCUGUCUUUACCGGUCUGUUUUGCAUUAUAUGUGCUGUAUGGGUUGUUCUGCCUGAUUAAGAUUAAAAACCUUUUUUUUUCGUCAAAUCGUGUGUGUGUAUUUUGGUCCUGCACCGUAGAAGAACCGAGACAGACC
ensembl:lncRNA